UACAGAGGUCUCAAGCGUUGUUCGGAUUCAUUGGGCGUAAAGGGUGCGUAGGCGGCGCGGUAAGUUGGGUGUGAAAUCUCGGAGCUUAACUCCGAAACUGCAUUUGAUACUGGCGUGCUUGAGGACUGGAGAGGAGACUGGAAUUCACGGUGUAGCAGUGAAAUGCGUAGAUAUCGUGAGGAAGACCAGUGGCGAAGGCGGGUCUCUGGACAGUUCCUGACACUGAGGCACGAAGGCCAGGGGAGCAAACGGG
rnacentral:rRNA from 1 species